rnacentral:rRNA from 1 species
CCUAGGGGGGCUGCAGUGGGGAAUAUUGGACAAUGGGCGAAAGCCUGAUCCAGCCAUGCCGCGUGUGUGAAGAAGGCCUUCGGGUUGUAAAGCACUUUCAGUGGGGAAGAAAGCCUUGGGGCUAAUACCCUCGAGGAAGGACAUCACCCACAGAAGAAGCACCGGCUAACUCCGUGCCAGCAGCCGCGGUAAUACGGAGGGUGCGAGCGUUAAUCGGAAUUACUGGGCGUAAAGCGCGCGUAGGCGGUCUGAUAAGCCGGUUGUGAAAGCCCCGGGCUCAACCUGGGAACGGCAUCCGGAACUGUCAGGCUAGAGUGCAGGAGAGGAAGGUAGAAUUCCCGGUGUAGCGGUGAAAUGCGUAGAGAUCGGGAGGAAUACCAGUGGCGAAGGCGGCCUUCUGGACUGACACUGACGCUGAGGUGCGAAAGCGUGGGUAGCAAACAGGAUUAGAUACCCCUGUAGUC